GUCUAUGGCCAUACCACCCUGAAUGUACCUGAUCCUGUCUGAUCUUGGAAGCUAAGCAGGGUUGGGCCUGGUUAAUACUUGGGUAGGAAAAUAAGAUAAAGAAGAGGGAAGCAAAAGAGA
ensembl:rRNA 5S_rRNA 5S ribosomal RNA